rnacentral:rRNA from 1 species
AUGAAGCAGAGAAGAAGAGAAAAGGACAAGUCGUUCCCCAUAUUUCUUACCAUCUCACAUGAUCAUUGCCAUUGGCAACCGCCACAAACGCCCUUCGGCCUUAUCUACGACGCGGUCGGCGAGCUCGUACAAACGCCCUCCGGCGCGGUUCGCCGCGUCGUCUCCGGCUUCGUCUACAACACCGUUGGUGAGCUCGUACAAACGCCCUCCAGCGCGGUCCGCGGCGUCGUCUCCGGCCUCGUCGACGGCCAGCUCAUACAAAUGACCUUCGGCGCGGUCCGCCGCGUCGUCUCCGGCCACGUCUACAGCGCAGUCGUCCAGCCCACGGACACGACCACCAGCGUGGUCUGCCUCUCAUCGUUUCCGGCCUCGUCUACGACGCCGUCAUCGAGCUCUUGA